GAUUAGCUGUACUCAAAUUUUCAAGUUCUUCGUUAACAAGGUUUGAAUUUGGUUUCGAUAAAUAUAUGUCUUUGGAAGAAGUCAAAGAAGGACUAAGAAAAAUCUUAUAUCAAGGUGGUGGAACGAGAAUCGAUAGAGGCCUGGCUUUGGCUAGACAACACUUUAUUUUAAAAGGAAGAAGUGGGGCAGACAAAGUCAUGAUUGUGAUGACGGAUGGUAAGUCGAAACCUUAUAUCGCGAGUAGACAAGCGCGUUUACUAAGAAACAUGGGUGUAGAAAUAUUUGCGGUUGCCAUUGGAGUUGAUAU